GACGAGGGGUCCUAGCGUUGUUCGGAAUCACUGGGCGUAAAGAGUAUGUAGGCGGCCUUGCAAGUCAGGUGUGAAAUCCCACGGCUCAACCGUGGAAUUGCAUUUGAAACUGCAGGGCUUGAAUAUGGAAGAGGGCAGUAGAAUUCCUGGUGUAGUGGUGAAAUACGUAGAUAUCAGGAGGAAUACCGGUGGCGAAGGCGGCUGCCUGGUCCAAUAUUGACGCUCAUGUACGAAAGCGUGGGGAGCAAACAGG
rnacentral:rRNA from 1 species